AACGAACGCUGGCGGCGUGCCUAACACAUGCAAGUCGAACGUGAUUGAAGAGCUUGCUCUUCAUGAAAGUGGCGCACGGGUGAGUAACGCGUAGAUAAUCUACCUGGUGAUUUGGGAUAACAGUUCGAAAGGACUGCUAAUACCGAAUAAGCCCACGGAGUCUUUGGAUUCUGCGGGAAAAGGGGGGGACCUUAUGGCCUUCCGUCAUCAGAUGAGUCUGCGUACCAUUAGCUAGUUGGUAGGGUAAAGGCCUACCAAGGCGACGAUGGUUAGCUGGUCUGAGAGGAUGAUCUGCCACACUGGAACUGAGACACGGUCCAGACUCCUACGGGAGGCAGCAGUGGGGAAUUUUGCGCAAUGGGGGAAACCCUGACGCAGCAACGCCGCGUGAGUGAUGAAGGCCCUUGGGUCGUAAAGCUCUGACAGAGGGAAAGAACCGCAUGGGGGUAAACAGCCCCCGUGUCUGACGGUACCAUCAAAGGAAGCACCGGCUAACUCCGUGCCAGCCGCCGCCGUAAAAC
rnacentral:rRNA from 1 species